rnacentral:ncRNA from 1 species
UUGAGCCGUACGAGAUGAAAUUCUCAUAUACGGUUCUGAGAGGGGGAGUACCAAUACCUCAGUUGUUCAGGGAUGUUUUUGCUGGUAUUGACCCGGAU